rnacentral:rRNA from 1 species
UACGGGGGGGGCAAGCGUUGUUCGGAAUUACUGGGCGUAAAGGGCUCGUAGGUGGCCAACUAAGUCAGACGUGAAAUCCCUCAGCUUAACUGGGGAACUGCGUCUGAUACUGGAUGGCUUGAGUUUGGGAGAGGGAUGCGGAAUUCCAGGUGUAGCGGUGAAAUGCGUAGAUAUCUGGAGGAACACCGGUGGCGAAGGCGGCAUCCUGGACCAACAUUGACGCUGAGGAGCGAAAGCCAGGGGAGCAAACGGG